UGAAAAUGGAAUACUAUACCGCAGACAGUAGGUGCCCGAGUGGCAUAACGUGUACAACCUACCGAGGUUUCUUUAAUAAAGGAUUGUAUAAGAAGUCACUUUACCUGCGGUUGUUUGCGUAAAGUGACUUUUUCAUUUUUAAU
rfam:Epulopiscium sp. SCG-B10WGA-EpuloB SCGB10WGA_B_40, whole genome shotgun sequence.